GGAAGCUCCCUGAAAGCCUGGCAGGCCAGCUUCCUUCAGCUGCAUUUGGUCCUUACACUGAGGGUCUCAGUGGGGAAAAAGCAGUCCUUUAAAAAAUACAUGGAUCCUGGUUUUUAGCAGGUUUUUUCUCAUCUGUCAGACAAAGUUAACGCCUAUUCAACACACAGUUGUCCGCUGGAAGAAUCUCAGCGUUGUUCCAUUUGCCAGACUGGGUGGGAUAAUCUAAGAGGGAGGAACCGUGGAGGUGGUGCGUCUUGGGAUGUCCUGAAGACAGAGACCAGAGUUGCAAGAGAUGUUUUCAGAUUUCACAGUGUAAUAAGAGAAAAGGAGCCAAUCCCUUAAAGGAAGAACCUUCAAUCACUUCUCCCCAGGUCCACAUUUCCAUUUUAUUUCUUUUCAUCAACUCCUUUGAUGGUGGAUUGCAUUGAAAACUAUUAAGAAAAGUAGGAUAUUUAAAAUGGACUGUGUCAAGAAGAGAAUCACUUCGAAGAAUAGCCAUUUACUCUAAUGAGGAAUUCCCUUCAGUCAAGCAAAAUACUGAAGAAAUUAGAUAUAAUAUGAAUCUAGUGUAAAUUACCAUGAUGUCUCCUCCAACUUUCAUCAAGACUUCUGAUUAGACUACUUGAUCUGUGAACAUGAGAUUACUUGAAGACCUGUCCCAGAGUUUCAAGCUGAACAAGAUAUAUUGAUUACACAAAUAUUUUUAUGUCACCCUAUAUCUUAAUAAAAUCACAUUUACGUCUGG